AGCGCAGGCGGUUUUUUAAGUCUGAUGUGAAAGCCUUCGGCUCAACCGAAGAAGUGCAUCGGAAACUGGGAAACUUGAGUGCAGAAGAGGACAGUGGAACUCCAUGUGUAGCGGUGAAAUGCGUAGAUAUAUGGAAGAACACCAGUGGCGAAGGCGGCUGUCUGGUCUGUAACUGACGCUGAGGCUCGAAAGUAUGGGUAGCAAACA
rnacentral:rRNA from 1 species